AUUGAACGCUAGCGGGAUGCUUUACACAUGCAAGUCGAACGGCAGCGCGGACUUCGGUCUGGCGGCGAGUGGCGAACGGGUGAGUAAUGUAUCGGAACGUGCCCAGUAGCGGGGGAUAACUACGCGAAAGCGUAGCUAAUACCGCAUACGCCCUACGGGGGAAAGCAGGGGAUCGUAAGACCUUGCACCAUUGGAGCGGCCGAUAUCGGAUUAGCUAGUUGGUGAGGUAACGGCUCACCAAGGCGACGAUCCGUAGCUGGUUUGAGAGGACGACCAGCCACACUGGGACUGAGACACGGCCCAGACUCCUACGGGAGGCAGCAGUGGGGAAUUUUGGACAAUGGGGGCAACCCUGAUCCAGCCAUCCCGCGUGUGCGAUGAAGGCCUUCGGUUGUAAAGCACUUUUGGCAGGAAAGAAACGUCGCGGGCUAAUACCCCGUGGAACUGACGGUACCUGCAGAAUAAGCACCGGCUAACUACAUG
rnacentral:rRNA from 1 species